rnacentral:lncRNA from 1 species
CUCUGUUGGGAAGGUUUGGGAUAAAAUUUCAGCGGACAUUGGCCAUUUCCUAUAUCUGUGAGUUGGUAAAGAUUCAGUAGCAUAGUUUUCUUCCAUUGUUAAGCAGGUCCAGGUGCACUACUCUCAGUGCUUGAUUGCCGCUAUCAAUAAUUAUCCUUUAUGGUGAUUUGAGCUUGCAUGUCUAUUUUAAAUAGAAUGAAAAGCCUGGUUCAUUUUCUCCUUCAAAAUACCUUUUGG